CCGACGGCGAGAACAGUUCAGUUUCAGAAGAAUUAGCAGUAAUAAUCGGAUGAUGAAGACAACUGCUGGGUUGUUGUGGUAUACCGUGAUUACUGCUAUGUCUCACGUUAGUAUUACCCAGCUACUUCUCCCCACAGUGGAGCACGAGGUAAUGUCAAACCUGGCCAAGGCAGUGGCUGCUGUACUGACGCCACAGCAGAGUACAACUGUUCUCCAUCCUGCUCACUGAUGGCGCCACUUCCCACACCACUGUAUAUAAGCUGGUGGCUCCCUGGGGUGUGGGGCUGUUCGAGGUGGCAGUGGACGGCCAGGACGCUAACGUGACGCAGGCGCAGCUCUCCCGGGUGGUCGACGAGGCUCGGCGGCUGCGGCAGGUGUCAUGGUGCGUGACGGUGGUGGUGAUGAGCGACGACCCAGCCUUCCUCGCCGCCUUCGCCGAGUGGUCCCUCAAGGGCCGCCUCCUGGUGUGGUCGACAAGGCUUCUCGUCGUCACUGUCCUCCCGGCUCAAAAGUUAAGAGCCCUCAUAGCCUCUUACUGGACCUUCUCCAUGAUGAACACCAUGAUUAUCAAUAAGGAAGGAGCCGCAAUAAGCAGGUAUGGAGUGUAUGCGAGCCUGCCUUACAGCCCUCGGGGAUCAUAUGUGGUGCAGGUGGCCUCCUGGACCCCUCAUCUUGGCCUUGUCUUCUUUACCUCCUUACCGCUUUUUCCUGAAAAAUU